AUGUUGUAGGUGGUGAAAAAUGCUCUCCAGGGAAACCGGGUGAACAAAGUAUUUUGGCUGGGAAAACCAGGCAUUCUUCUGUUGGUUCAUGUGCUUCGUCCUACAUCCAAAGGCCACAAGAAGAAUCCAAAAUGGCUCAUGUCAAACUGUGGACCAUGUUUUCAGAUAUGUGCAGAUGCAAGCCACUGUUGAAGCCUUCCUCAUCGCUGUGGAACCAGGACAGCUCUUCCUCCUGUGUUUGUGAAAAAAAGAGCAGCACCAAAGACACUUCACCAUCAGUGAUCACAAGAUCAUCCAAGUCGCUUCAUUGGGAUUAACCCAGAAAGGGGCACAAAAGCCGGUCAUGGGAAGACAAAAGACAGGAAAGACCAUUCAAAUGAAAAAGUGACUGUCAAUGUUCAGGUUUCCACUCUCAUCAAAAACCUGAUGGACUUUGAGUGGCUUCUCAUUCAGUAAGUGCCACUUGGACUCUUGAAAACCAUUAAUAGUUCACAUUUUAAGACCCUGUUAAUACUAGAAUUCCACAUUAUUUCAGCCAUGUUGAAUUUU